GAACGCUAGCGGCGCGCUUAUGCAUGCAAGUCGAGCGAUGAGGCUGCCUACGGGCGGCACAUCAGCGGCAGACGGGUGAGUAACACGUAAGUAACCUACCCCAGAGACAGGGAUAACCCUGGGAAACGAGGGCUAAUACCGGAUGACUUCCGCGAGGAGGAAAGGCUACGGCGCUCUGGGAGGGGCUUGCGGCCCAUCAGCUAGUUGGUAGGGUAAAGGCCUACCAAGGCAAAGACGGGUAGGGGGUGUGAGAGCAUGCCCCCCACAAUGGGACUGAAACACGGCCCAUACUCCUACGGGAGGCAGCAGCAGGGAAUAUUGCACAAUAGGCGAAAGCCUGAUGCAGCGACGCCGCGUGAGUGAAGAAGGCCUUCGGGUCGUAAAGCUCUUUUGUAGGGGAAGAGGAAGGACGGUACCCUGAGAAAAAGCGUCGGCUAACUACGUGCCAGCAGCCGCGGUAAGACGUAGGACGCGAGCGUUAUCCGGAAUUACUGGGCGUAAAGGGCCAGUAGGUGGCUUGGUAAGUUGUGCGUGAAAGCCUCGUGCUCAACGCGAGGAGGCCGGACAAUACUGUCAAGCUAGAGGGCAUCAGAGGGGAGUGGAAUUCCCGGAGUAGCGGUAAAAUGCGCAGAUAUCGGGAGGAACACCAAUGGCGAAGGCAGCUCCCUGGGAUGUACCUGACACUGAGGGGCGAAAGCUAGGGGAGCGAACAGGAUUAGAGACCCUGGUAGUCCUAGCUGUAAACGCUGGGUGCUAGGUGUGGGGCGUAGAAGUUCCGUGCCGGAGCAAACGCGAUAAGCAUCCCGCCUGGGAAUUACGGUCGC
rnacentral:rRNA from 1 species